rnacentral:rRNA from 1 species
GGUUGGGUGAAACUCCGGUGGUUGAUGAUGGGCAUGCGUUGUAUUAGCUGGUUGGUGAGGUAACGGCUCACCAAGGCGACGAUACAUAGGGGGACUGAGAGGUUAACCCCCCCACAUUGGUACUGAGACACGGACCAAACUCCUACGGAAGGCAGCAG